AGUGAACGCUGGCGGUAGGCCUAACACAUGCAAGUCGAACGGCAGCACAGUAAGAGCUUGCUCUUACGGGUGGCGAGUGGCGGACGGGUGAGGAAUACAUCGGAAUCUACUUUUUCGUGGGGGAUAACGUGGGGAAACUUACGCUAAUACCGCAUACGACCUACGGGUGAAAGCAGGGGAUCUUCGGACCUUGCGCGAUUGAAUGAGCCGAUGUCGGAUUAGCUAGUUGGCGGGGUAAAGGCCCACCAAGGCGACGAUCCGUAGCUGGUCUGAGAGGAUGAUGAGCCACACUGAAACUGAGGAACGACCCGGACUCCGGCGGGGGGCGGGAGGGGGGAAUGGUGGGGAAUGGGGGCAGGCCGGAUCAAGCAACGACGUGGGGGGAAGGAGGGCGUUCUGGUGGUAGAGCUCUUUUUUUGGAAAAAAAGAGGAGCGGGUUAUUCCCGGGCGGUUUGAGGGUAACCCAAAAAUGAAGCCCCGGCUAACUACGUG
rnacentral:rRNA from 1 species